rnacentral:lncRNA from 10 species
CGGCUGGAAUCUGAGCUCUCUGACCCCCACUCCUGCCCCUACAGCCACUUGGUCCCAUGGGGUGUGGCUGGACAGAAGCCAUCCUCUUCCUUCUGCUCUGUCCAACUGGCUUCUACCGGUAGGUGACAGGGCAGUGUUCCCAGCAGUGGGACAAGAGGCACUGGCACCAGGCCAUGAGCCAUGCAUUCCUAGCUCUGCAGGGCAUGCAUGCCACGCGGACUGUGACAGUGAGCUCUUCCAGGCCCCCAGUGAGCCUGAGAGGGGGUCUGGGAAGAGUCAAGAGACACCCAGACAGUGCCAUGUGGCAGUGAAGCCUCUGGUCCCAAUCUGCCAGGGUGCAAAGCCCCAGGACUGCUGGUGGGAUGUUGGUGGAGUCACCGCUGGGCAUGGGGCCACCUAGCAAAGGACUGCAUCUCUCAGGCCUUCUCAUAGGUAGGUACAGUCACAUGGCUGGGCUCUUGCCAUUGCUAGAAAGUGGAAGUGAUGAGUCCAUGGCUCUGAAAACAGCAGGUGUACCUCUUCCACACUCUCUUCCCCUAUCCCUUCGGCUGAACCUGAAUGUUACAGUGGCUUCAACCGUGCAGAUGGUGACAAGGUCCUAGAGAUGGAAGAACCUGAAGACGGAAGAAACCUGGGUGCCUGAGUGACCAGGUGGAGCAGAGUGACUUUGCCAUGAAAAAGAAGUUGGGUUCCUCUCUUGUGACAGCAGCUCAGCCUUUUAUUGUGAACGGAAGAGCACCCCAUUUUCUGAGUUCCCUGAACCACGUCCAGACACUGCACCCCAACUCACUGGACUCUCCCACUAGAGAGCAACCUCUCAGCUGGCUCAGUUAUAAAAGCCCUGGAGACAAAAAUGUGCUUUGGAAUCAGACAUGGUUUCUCAUCCAGCUCUGCUCCUUCCUGGCUGUGCAACUUUGGACAAGUGACUUUACCUCUCUGAACUCCAUUCUCUCUUAUCCAAAAAAGGAUUCCAGCUAGCUCUGCCAUGAGGAUUCAAUGACAGGACGCAGGUAAAAGGCUCAGCACAGUGCUUGGCACAGAGUAAGGUCUUCGCAAAGGUCAGCUCCUUUUCCCUUCCCCCAUUCCCGGCAGCCUUCACUGCCGAGCCCCUGGCAGGCCUCCCAUCAGCCCCCACCAAACCGUGAUGCAGACUGAAGUUUUUCUUUCGAGUAAGUGACAGGUUCAGGGAGGUGGAACAGAACAAGUACUUAGAGUUCACAGCGCAGAAUUCUUUGAAAUCAUGUUCCCAAUGCUCCCUUCCUAGGGUCGGGGGAUUAGCCGGCUAUCCUGGGCUUGGCUCUAAAUGGUCUCACCAUGAAGGGAAUUUUCCUACAAUCUUAUCCUACCCACUGUCCCAGGGCUAAGAAGACAUGUGUCUUUCUCCUCUGUGGCAGCCUGUUGCUGUCAACCCCAUUCCAGGGCAAGGACUGUGGGAUGCAGGGAACAAAGAGUGGGGCUAGAGCUGGGGCUGGGGCGAGCGUGUUCUGUUUGGUGAUGAUUGGAAUGUUGUGAGUUAUGCAAUAGGAAUAUUAAUUCCUUCUAGUAGAGACCAUCAGGGCUGCGAGAGGCUGUUGGUGUGUAUCUGGUCCGGAUGCCUUCCUCCCGCCUCCCAUUUACUCAUGAAGAAAAGGAGGCCUGCGAGGGGACGAGACUUAUUUCCAGACCCACAUAGAGAAAGGGAGUGGCAGCAGCAGGCUGGGCUCCAGCGGGACACCGUGGAGGCCUGUCUCUGUGCACCAGCGCCCUUGUUAUGGUUCAGCGCUGAUGGCGAUGCAGAAGGGAGUGUUCGCCUCCAUGCUUUGUGUGUAUGAAAACCAGGAUCUAGAAAGUGUCCGAGGGACAUGCCUCCCACACUGACCUUCUGUGGCUGGGGUGGGCAAAGGAUUGGAGGGGAGCUGGGCUGCUAGAUUAUCAGAAGCUGGGAGACAGGCCCCAGGUAGGCAGAGGUUAGGAGCCGAGCCCCCAGGUAGGCAGGGACUAGAAGCAGGGUCCCCCAGGUAGGCAGAGGCUGAAAGCAGGGCCCCCAGAUAUGCAGAGGCUGGGAGCGGGCCCCCAGAUAUGCACAGGCUGGGAGCGGGGCCCCCAGGUAGGUAGAGGCUGGGAGUUCUCCAGCUCCCCACACUAUGGACUUGUGUGGUCUCGCCUCCACCACAGCCUGGCUCUGUUUUGUGAAUGUCUGUGCAGAGGUUGUGGCUUCCCAAUGGACAAUGUGGUUCCCAAUGAACCUUACACUGCCUGUCUCUCGACCUCCUUUAUGGCCUAGCUCCCUGAUCCUGCUGGUGGCAUUUGCUGAUCAAAAGCACAGAUGGUUUCCACCUCCCUGAUGCAAAAUCUUUCUUCAGCCAGACGGAAAUCAGACAGCCUCUGGUGUUGAAUCUCUGAUCUGCCACUUCACCAGCUGUGCCAUCUUGGACAAGAUAUUGAGCUCUCUGAGCCUAAAUGCUCAGAUGGGGUGAACAUGAGUGGGCUUCCCUCGGGGCUGGGUGAUAGGAUGGCGUGAGACUCGCUGGGUAAAACACACAGGGAGUAUUUUACCUCACUGACUUCCUCCUUUCCCUCUGCCCAGGGAAGCCUCUCAGUCCCAGGGGGCACAUUCCGUGUUGGUCAGGGCCCAGACCUUCUCCCUCAGCCUCCACUUUCCAUCCUCACCCACAUCCUGUCUCACUUCACAGGAGUGCUCAUGCUGUGGGUUCCGUCCAGAAUGUGGUCCAACAAAUCCAUCACACGCAGAUGAGAGUAGCAGCCCCAGCCCCAGGCUUGGAAAAGGUUUCCAGAGAUUGCCAACUGUCCCCUGCGGGUGAAAUUGCUGCUGUACAGGAAUCACAAAGAACUCAGACACGGAGAUCCUCCUGGAGCUAAUGGUCCACGGGGGCCCCUUCUUUGUGGACACAGACACCUCGGUACACACACCCGGAGGACCCAGGAGGGCCAGGCUGAAGGAGGGCAUCACCUUCCAUCUGGGGGACUUAUCCCCCUCUCCCCACACUUACACUUGAAGGUGGACUCAGUGCUGACCCUCAGGGCCAGGGCACACGGCAGGUGCAUUUUGGGAGGGAAAGGCCAGCUUUGGUCUGGAAAGGGGCACACCUCCUCUUGGAAAUACAAAAAAUACACAUGGGCAAGGACACGGCUUUGUAACAAACCCACUUUUAUUGAUAGUGUACACGGAGAUCCAUGGUGGCGGGGCUGUGCCUGGGUGA